UGACACAGCCUUGCUGAAUACGGAGUUGGAUGCACACGGUGGGCUUGAGAUCCCGCACGCCCCAGCUCCAGCGCAUCUCCACCCACAGCCCCUGGCCCCCACCACCUCUGCCAUCGCAGUCCAGCCUGGAAAGCAGCCUGCAGUCUCAGACGGAAGUUUCACUCUUUUUGCUCAAGGUGGAGUGCAAUGGCGCGAUCUCGGCUCACUGCAACCUCCGCCUCCCGGAUUCAAGCGAUUCUCCUGCUUCAGCCUCCUGAGUAGCUGAGAUUACAGACAUGAGACACCGCGCCCGGCCUAAAAUGUCAUUUUCUUCGGUGCCACGGGGAAGUGAAAUAGUCCUGAACAAAAUUAUAUAUCCUAUCUGAGGUUGGGAUGAGGCACAGAGGUGGGAAGAAAAAGUCCACAGUCAAGUACAUGGGCUGGACAUAAAUGAGAGCAAGACUGAAAUGCUGAGGGGGCUGCAGGGAGAGGCACAAGUUACUUGCAUAUAGCGGUGAUAAGCCUAAGUGAGGCAAACUGAAGUCCUCAGGGUUUUCUAUGUUUUUGUUUUCCAUGUGGCUAAAAAUUCUGUGAUUUUUGUAUACUACUGCAGAAAUACAGAAUCAGGUCUUUUAUUUCAUAACUUACUGACACUGGCUUAAUUUCUUUGCACAGUUCUACCCUAUUUCCAAAAAGCUAAAGAGAGGAAUGUGCUAGACCACCCUCCCUGCCUCACUAUGCCAUAGUCUCUUUUGGGCACACAUUAUAUUCCUAUCCAUGACAAGCAGCCAGGGCAGAAGAGCUCUCUACAUAUGUGCCACCUUGUCUCCAAAACCUGCUGUCCCCUUUGGACAGACUGGCCCAUCCCUGACCACUGUUCUCCCCUGUCUUCAAUUCCUGAUGGCAACAAGAGAGAUUCUCUGACUGUUUCCAAGGAUGUCAUUCUCAGCCUCACCUCCAAGUUUGAUUUUAUAGAACAACCAAUAAAUGUGGUUUCACCUUCCUUGAGUUCACAACCAUUCUCCAAAGUGUAUUCAGAAGAACACGAGUCCUGGGAGAUGUUUCUCACAAACAGAGCUUGAAGGCCAGUUUGGAAAAUAUUGCAUGCCGUAACUCCCUUUAGAGAUUCACAGUGCACGCUUUCAUUUCCAAGGCUUGGAGAGCCUUUUCUCACAUUUUAUGGGCAAGAAAUGAUUUUUAACGUUGUGUUAACAUUCUUCAGAGCAGGUAUUCCAUGGAGUAUGCUUUGAGAGAUACCAAUUUAAGAGCAUAGUUUAUGAUCAGUAAAUUAUAAGCAAAUAUUUUAUUAAUUCUACUAUUACAAGAACGUCACUUUAAAUAAUUUGAAACAGACUAGGAAUGUUCUUUUACCUUCUGCUUUGAUGAAAGUAGAUGCCUGUUAUGUCCAAGUGAAUGUGAAUCCAUCAUUUUCCCUCCGUUUCUUAAAUCCUGCAGCUCUAGUGCUCAUGCCAUCACCAUGCAGGAGUCCAAGUGAGAUGAGG
rnacentral:lncRNA from 10 species